CCUGCAAAACGAAUCUAAGUUCCCCCUUAACCCUCUUUUCCCUCCCCAGACAAACCCAACCCAAAUGUGAUAGUUAAGGGCUAUUUAAAGGGGGUACAGCCCCUUUAAAAAAGGACACAACCUCCACCAGCGGAUAACCCCUGUACGCCCAACCCCGUGGGCCUUAAAGCAGCCACCCCCAAAGAUUGCGUCAAAGCUCCAUCAACCAAAAACCCCCAAAACCAAUGCGACUCCCUACACCCACAGCAGGCCAACCUAUAACAAUAGAUGAAUCAAUGCUAGAACGAGUAACCAGGACACUAUGUCCCCCCAAGCGCCAGCCUGUAUACCAUUAACAGUAAAACCUCAAUAAUAACCACCCCCACCAUUGAACCCACCCUGUCAACCCAACUCAGGGGCGCACACUGGAGUGAUCAAAAUCUACAAAAGGAACUCGGCAAACCUAAGACCCGACUGUUUACCAAAAACAUAGCCUUCAGCCAAACAAGUAUUGAAGGUGAUGCCUGCCCAGUGACACUAUGUUUAACGGCCGCGGUA
rnacentral:rRNA from 1 species